GAUGAACGCUGGCGGCGUGCUUAACACAUUCAAGUCGAACGAAGAAGAUUGGAGCUUGCUCCGAUCGGAUUAGUGGCGGACGGGUGAGUAACGCGUGAGUAACCUGCCUGCGAGAGGGGGAUAACAACGGGAAACUGUUGCUAAUACCGCAUAACGCAUCGAUUCCGCAUGGAGAUGAUGCCAAAGGGAAACCGCUUGCAGAUGGACUCGCGUCUGAUUAGGUAGUUGGUGAGGUAACGGCUCACCAAGCCGACGAUCAGUAGCCGGACUGAGAGGUUGAACGGCCACAUUGGAACUGAGAUACGGUCCAGACUCCUACGGGAGGCAGCAGUGGGGAAUAUUGGGCAAUGGGCGAAAGCCUGACCCAGCGACGCCGCGUGAAGGAAGAAGGCCUUCGGGUUGUAAACUUUAGUAAGCAGGGAAGAAGAAAGUGACGGUACCUGCAGAGUAAGCCACGGCUAACUACGUG
rnacentral:rRNA from 1 species